GUACUCGACGUUGGACGCCAAGUGGCCCACUGGGCCCUCAACACUGUACUGGCCCGCCAGGGCACAUAAGGAGAAGUAACUGACCACGUCAAAAAGUUCAGAAUUCAUUUUCAUCGAAAGAAAGAAAACUCGAAAGGCGAAGCCACAGAAGGCUUCUACACUCAUGUCACCCUGGUCUGUCUCAAAGCUGUACUCGAUGUUGGACGCCGAGUGGCCCACUGGGCCCUCGCCACUGUUCUGGCCCGCCAGGGCACAUAAGCAGCUGCCAUCACAUUCAUCUUUUUUUUUUCUCAUGCUUUUUU
rnacentral:lncRNA from 1 species